ACGCCGCGUGAGUGAUGAAGGUUUUCGGAUCGUAAAGCUCUGUUGUUAGGGAAGAACAAGUACCGUUCGAAUAGGGCGGUACCUUGACGGUACCUAACCAGAAAGCCACGGCUAACUACGUGCCAGCAGCCGCGGUAAUACGUAGGUGGCAAGCGUUGUCCGGAAUUAUUGGGCGUAAAGGGCUCGCAGGCGGUUUCUUAAGUCUGAUGUGAAAGCCCCCGGCUCAACCGGGGAGGGUCAUUGGAAACUGGGGAACUUGAGUGCAGAAGAGGAGAGUGGAAUUCCACGUGUAGCGGUGAAAUGCGUAGAGAUGUGGAGGAACACCAGUGGCGAAGGCGACUCUCUGGUCUGUAACUGACGCUGAGGAGCGAAAGCGUGGGGAGCGAACAGGAUUAGAUACCCUGGUAGUCCACGCCGUAAACGAUGAGUGCUAAGUGUUAGGGGGUUUCCGCCCCUUAGUGCUGCAGCUAACGCAUUAAGCACUCCGCCUGGGGAGUACGGUCGCAAGACUGAAACUCAAAGGAAUUGACGGGGGCCCGCACAAGCGGUGGAGCAUGUGGUUUAAUUCGAAGCAACGCGAAGAACCUUACCAGGUCUUGACAUCCUCUGACAAUCCUAGAGAUAGGACGUCCCCUUCGG
rnacentral:rRNA from 1 species